AUGGUCUCGAUUUCUCCGGUACUGUCUCCCACUGCUUCUAAAGCGCAAUCCCCUGCAAAGUCUCUGACUGUUCAGCCACUGUCUUCAGUUUCCCCGGCUAUCAUCCCAUCCACCAAUGCAUCUUCGCCACCGCCCCUGUUACCAACCAAACACCGCCAAAAAAGCCUUCUGCUCAAAACUAUAAACUCCAUUUUUGUGUGCUUUUGUGAUGCUCGUAUCAGAUAG